rnacentral:lncRNA from 1 species
CAGUCAUUUGACCCACCUGUGCAGUUUUAAAAAUAUUUUGAGUAAUGGAGACUGAGCUAAAACUCAGACUCUGAACAAUGAUUAGAUAAAUCUGUUAUUUAAAAGGAGUUCUCCUUCCCCUUGAAGAGGAGGGGAAAUUCUAAUAAAUCCCAGAGUGUUUGCAUUCUGUUUUUAUUUGAUUGCUAUGGCUGAGCUCCUUUGGUAUGUUAAAAUGAAAACUGCCUUUCCUGUGACAGUCA